rnacentral:rRNA from 1 species
AUGGCGCGGCGCCACGGGUGGCAGCUCCCCGCCCACACCCUGCAGGUGGUUGCUAUAACAGUGUUCUUCUUGCUGUGUAUAGCAUUCUAUGCUUUCUUGUCUCCAUUUCUUGGGAAGGACUUGUAUCAGUAUAUUGCAAUCGGUGUUUAUAGUUUUCUGGCCUUAUCGGUACUGAUUCUAUAUGCUAGAUGUACUGCUAUUGAUCCUGCUGACCCUGGCAUCCUGAUUAGCGUCAAUGGUGCACUAAUCUAUAAAUCAGAAGCAAACGUACACACUCAAGAAGAAGCUGGCAAAUCAGGAUUGGAAGCCAACGAGGAAAUCAGAAAGCAUAGAUCAUGUUUAGGAACUGGUUGUUUUUGUUGUGCUAUUUUUAAGAAAGAGGAUUGUCGCAAAGAAGAUGAAGCUUACCAACAAGAAAAUUAUGCCGAGGAGGCACUCUUUUGCACCCUUUGCAACACAGAGGUGCGAAAAAAUAGUAAACAUUGUCGGAGCUGUGACAAGUGUGUUGAUGGUUUUGAUCAUCAUUGUCGGUGGCUGAACAAUUGUGUUGGAAGGAGAAAUUAUAUGACUUUUUUGUGCCUUAUGGCAGUGAGUCUUGCUUGGCUUGCGGUUGAGUGUGGAGUUGGUAUAGCUGUGUUUGUACGUUGCUUCACUGAUAAAGCAGCAAUUGAAGAACAAAUAGGGGAAAAGCUGGGCUAUGGUCUUUCACGAGCGCCCUUUGCAGUCAUUGUGGCCCUGAGUACAGCUCUUGCUGUGCUUGCUUCAGUGCCCCUGGGGGAGCUGUUCUUCUUCCAUAUGCUAUUAAUCAAGAAGGGCAUCACAACUUAUGAAUAUGUUGUGGCAAUGAGGGCUCAGAGUGAACCUCCUGGUCUCUCUGUCAAUGAUGAGCAGCAAAGCUUGCCAUCUUCUCCCAUGAGUUCUGCACCAACUGCUUUCAGCGGGAGCUCGUUCGCACGGCAUUACAAAGGUGCAUGGUGCACUCCACCACGCAUCUUUGUUGACCAGGACGAAAUCAUUCCACACUUGGGACCUGGGCGAUUACCUUCAACUGUUGAUCCUGAUAGCACAGACCCGGUUGAAAGAGCCAAACAACACGCCAAGCGCCAAGUUCGCAUUAACCCAUGGAAGCUGGCAAAACUGGAUUCAAACGAGGCCAUGAAAGCCGCAGCAAAAGCCAGAGCCUCUUCAUCCGUGCUGAAACCGAUCAAUAGCCGUUCCCAUUACGACGCCGACCAGUGCUCCAGCGAUAACCUCAGCUGCAGAAGCAGUGUCAUGAGUGCUGAUACUAACAACCACAUCGACACUCGGUCUGGCAGGAAUGCUCCGUACAAGUCCCCUUAUCCACCCAGCAUAGCAAGUGCAGAUGACAUUGAGCUGUAUCCUCAGACACCCAGCAGCUUCCAGAGCAACUCGCGGACUCCGACGCCCAUUGCAGAGCACCAUCCCUCGAAGCAUUUCAACCCAAUCUAUCAGACAUCAGCAAACAGGUCCCCAUUCUCAGCCAAAGCAAAUGAAGCAGCUAUUCCAGAAGCCAACAACGCAAGGAGGUUUAGUGCGCCGAACACAGAUAGAUCUCCUCGAUCAUCGGUUUACUGGGAUCAGGAAGCUGGCCGGUUCAUGUCUGCACAGGCAAACCAGGGACCGAGCUCUCGGGUAACCCGGCCCGACCUUCUGUACACCGGUCAGUCUAUAUUCUUUGGUGGACCCCUGAUUGCAGAUUCUGCAACGAGAAGUUUCAGAGACCCUGGCGGCUCGAGCCAGCGCUCUGCCGUGUCUCGGCCACACCAGCUCCCCGUGUUCAUUCCCACUGAUCCCCAGAAAGAUCACCUCUCCAAGUUGCCGUGA